GCCCGCUCAAGAAACUUAAAGGAAGUUGACGGGGCCCGCACAAGCGGAGGAGCAUGUGGUUUAAUUCGAUGAUACGCGAGGAACCUUACCUGGGCUCGAACGUAAGAUGACUGUAGGUGAAAGCUUACAUCUCUUCGGAGCAUUUUUACGAGGUGCUGCAUGGUUGUCGUCAGCUCGUGCCGUGAGGUGUCGGGUUAAGUCCCAUAACGAGCGCAACCCUACCUUUAGUUGCCAUCAGGUUAAGCUGGGGACUCUAAAGGAACUGCCUACGCAAGUAGUGAGGAAGGCGGGGAUGACGUCAAAUCAGCACGGCCCUUACGUCCAGGGCUACACACGUGCUACAAUGGCCGAUACAGAGGGCAGCUACCUGGUGACAGGAUGCAAAUCUCCAAAGUCGGUCUCAGUUCGGAUCGGAGUCUGCAGCCCGACUCCGUGAAGUUGGAUUCGCUAGUAAUCGCGCAUCAGCCAUGGCGCGGUGAAUACGUUCCCGGGCCUU
rnacentral:rRNA from 1 species